rnacentral:rRNA from 1 species
UCUUACUUUCACCAGCGUUUCUGGGUGGAGCAAAAACAGGAAGGCAAAAUGCCGCAAAAAAGGGAAUAAGGGCGACACGGAAAUGUUGAAUACUCAUACUCUCCUUUUUCAAUAUUAUUGAAGCAUUUAUCAGGGUUAUUGUCUCAUGAGCGGAUACAUAUUUGAAUGUAUUUAGAAAAAUAAACAAAUAGGGGUUCCGCGCACAUUUCCCCGAAAAGUGCCACCUGACGUCUAAGAAACCAUUAUUAUCAUGACAUUAACCUAUAAAAAUAGGCGUAUCACGAGGCCCUUUCGUCUCGCGCGUUUCGGUGAUGACGGUGAAAACCUCUGACACAUGCAGCUCCCGGAGACGGUCACAGCUUGUCUGUAAGCGGAUGCCGGGAGCAGACAAGCCCGUCAGGGCGCGUCAGCGGGUGUUGGCGGGUGUCGGGGCUGGCUUAACUAUGCGGCAUCAGAGCAGAUUGUACUGAGAGUGCACCAUAUGCGGUGUGAAAUACCGCACAGAUGCGUAAGGAGAAAAUACCGCAUCAGGCGCCAUUCGCCAUUCAGGCUGCGCAACUGUUGGGAAGGGCGAUCGGUGCGGGCCUCUUCGCUAUUACGCCAGCUGGCGAAAGGGGGAUGUGCUGCAAGGCGAUUAAGUUGGGUAACGCCAGGGUUUUCCCAGUCACGACGUUGUAAAACGACGGCCAGUGAAUUCGAGCUCGGUACCGUAAUACGACUCACUAUAGGGCGACAUAUGAUCGAUGAUAUCCCAUGGGCGGCCGCCUGCAGACCAGGUCUGCAGGAAGAUUCUAAAACCUUGGAAAAUGCCCAACGGCAGAACCAAAUUAUGGCCAUGGGAUUUGCCAAAGGCGCUGUCAGGCGGGGGAGUAGAAGUUUUCGGACAUGCAAAAUUUGAACCUGAUUGGGAGAAGUAUGCAGGUUUCAAACCAAAAAGUGUGAUUGUCUUCGUUCUUGAAGAGGAUUACGAAGCUUUGCGCACCUCACCGUCAGUCAUUUCCAGUACCUCGGUGAAGACUGGAGAUCUGGAUCCCUCGAGUCUAGAGUCGACCUGCAGGCAUGCAAGCUGGCGUAAUCAUGUCCAAGUCCC